rnacentral:rRNA from 1 species
GAUGAACGCUGGCGGCGUGCCUAAUACAUGCAAGUCGAGCGGUAAGGCUUCUUCGGAAGUACACGAGCGGCGGACGGCUGAGUAAUGCAUAGGAACGUACCCCAAACUGAGGGAUAAGCCACCGAAAGGUGGUCUAAUACCGCAUGUGCCCUUCGGAGCAAAGCUACGGCGGCUUGGGAGCGGCCUAUGUUCGAUUAGCUUGUUGGUGAGGUAAUGGCUCACCAAGGCGACGAUCGAUAGCGGGUCUGAGAGGAUGAUCCGCCAGACUGGAACUGAGACACGGUCCAGACUCCUACGGGAGGCAGCAGUAGGGAAUUUUCCACAAUGGGGGCAACCCUGAUGGAGCAACGCCGCGUGCAGGAUGAAGGCCUUCGGGUUGUAAACUGCUUUUCUCUGUGAUGAUUAUGACAGUAGCAGAGGAAUAAGGAUCGGCUAACUCCGUGCCAGCAGCCGCAGUAA